rnacentral:rRNA from 1 species
CGGGCGGGGUGCUAUACAUGCAGUCGAGCGAACUGCAUUAGAAGCUUGCUUCUAUGACGUUAGCGGCGGACGGGUGAGUAACACGUGGGCAACCUGCCUGUAAGACUGGGAUAACUCCGGGAAACCGGAGCUAAUACCGGAUAACAUUUUCUCUUGCAUAAGAGAAAAUUGAAAGAUGGUUUCGGCUAUCACUUACAGAUGGGCCCGCGGUGCAUUAGCUAGUUGGUGAGGUAACGGCUCACCAAGGCAACGAUGCAUAGCCGACCUGAGAGGGUGAUCGGCCACACUGGGACUGAGACACGGCCCAGACUCCUACGGGAGGCAGCAGUAGGGAAUCUUCCGCAAUGGACGAAAGUCUGACGGAGCAACGCCGCGUGAGUGAUGAAGGCUUUCGGGUCGUAAAACUCUGUUGUUAGGGAAGAACAAGUACAAGAGUAACUGCUUGUACCUUGACGGUACCUAACCAGAAAGCCACGGCUAACUACGUGCCAGCAGCCGCGGUAAU